UAUAAACCGGCUCUCUUCUAGCUUACGACACAAACUAUGAGUGAGAAAAGGACAAAUGAUUCGCUCUUUGCUUCAUUUUUUCCGAGGUUGUCACAACAUGAAAUGUCAUUUGGACCUAUUGGACUCAUUUUAACUCGGCCAAAUACAUAGUAACAUACAUAAGAAGAUUUUACUUAUAUUUACCGAACUAUUUGACACGGUCGCGUCAACUGUGUUUACGAGUGUCUUGUGUUCAGAUUGUUUUAAGUGAUAAUUUAACAAUAUUUUUCCAAAUAAAUGGAAAGAAACUUUUAUUUAUAUCAAAUAAUUGAGUGUCUCGACUGUGUGACAUUAUGUCUUGUGUGGUAUGGGGCUGCAGCUCACAUUCAGGAAGAAAAGAAAAUAGCCAACAACUUCUGUCGUUUCAUCGAUAUUAAAUCCAAAAGUGUCGACUGGAUUUACAUGAAAAGUCAGUUCAAGAAGACGAGAUGAAAAAUUUAAAAGAAAAGCUGAACAAGUCCCGCCUCAAGAUCAAACGACUUAAUGAAAAAAAAAA